GCAUUAGACUCUCCAUGGGCUCCAUAGACUCUCCUGUACCUUACGACUAGGCACAGGAGCGUUUCCCCGGUGAAAUGGAGAAGAGGACACUUGGUCUUUUCAACUUUACUAGGAGGGCUCCUUUCUUCCCAGUCCGUAAGGAGGGGUCUGACUUUCAUUUCCACCCCAGCAUUAUCACCUUAACUCUCAUUCCAGUCAAUCCCGAAACUCCGUUGCCCUACCCACUUCACCCUUCUUUUGUUUGUCCUGAUUUGAUUCCUGCGUUCUCACAGAGGGCUACCUGGACUUUGAACCUCCACCCCCCUUUCUACAUUCUUGCAUUCCAGAAACAUAUGAAGCUCAUUUCUGCCACCCUUCCUAGAAAACUGGUUCCUGACAGAGACAUGUGGAAAGGUAUCUGCACAAGAAAAAGUGAAAACAUAUGUCCAAGCAAGGAUUGUUUACAAAUGUGCAUAGCAGUUUUGUUAAUAAUAGCCCCAAACUGGAAACAAUCCAAAUAUUCAUCAACAGACGGAUACAGUGUAGUAUA
rnacentral:lncRNA from 1 species